rnacentral:rRNA from 1 species
GGUUGACCUCGGAUCAGGUAGGGAUACCCGCUGAACUUAAGCAUAUCAAUAAGCGGAGGAAAAGAAACCAACAGGGAUUGCCUCAGUAACGGCGAGUGAAGCGGCAAGAGCUCAAAUUUGAAAGCUGGCCCCCUCGGGGUCCGCGUUGUAAUUUGCAGAGGAUGCUUCGGGUGCAGCCCCCGUCUAAGUGCCCUGGAACGGGCCGUCAUAGAGGGUGAGAAUCCCGUCUGGGACGGGGUGUCUGCGUCCGUGUGAAGCUCCUUCGACGAGUCGAGUUGUUUGGGAAUGCAGCUCUAAAUGGGUGGUAAAUUUCAUCUAAAGCUAAAUACUGGCCGGAGACCGAUAGCGCACAAGUAGAGUGAUCGAAAGAUGAAAAGCACUUUGAAAAGAGAGUUAAACAGCACGUGAAAUUGUUGAAAGGGAAGCGUUUGCGACCAGACUCGCCCGCGGGGUUCAGCCGGCAUUCGUGCCGGUGUACUUCCCCGUGGGCGGGCCAGCGUCGGUUUGGGCGGCCGGUCAAAGGCCCUCGGAAUGUAUCACCUCUCGGGGUGUCUUAUAGCCGAGGGUGCAAUGCGGCCUGCCCGGACCGAGGAACGCGCUUCGGCUCGGACGCUGGCGUAAUGGUCGCAAAUGACC